rnacentral:lncRNA from 1 species
CUCGCCGCAGCAGCAAUUACGCCUAAUGGAUGCUCAGCGUGACGCACUCUCCUGCUUCUAGGCAGCCGCAGCGCUGGCGCUGAGCUCGGGUCCCCAGGGGCUGCUGGGCCCUGUGCCUCUGGAGGCCCCCGCAAAUGUCACCACCUGCGUCCACAUCACGUUCCAGAGCACAAGCGUGAGGGGCAGCCAGUUAAAGAAGCAAAGCCUCCCGGAGGAAAUGUGCUCUAGACUUCGCCACCAGCCAGCCCGAGGGCAGAUCUCAGCUCCGCGUGGACUGGCUGCACCUGGCUGCACCUGACGCCGCCGGCCCAUCCCCGGGCUCCAUGCUGUAUUCUGCCCAAGUUUCUGGAUCCGAAAGAGGAUAAGAAGCAUCCGGAAAUUGUCCCUCCCAGCUUGCACCCUCUACUGCGGCAUGAGGCCGACCUGGGCGGGAUGCUGUCUGUGUGAUCCUGGACCCGUCUCCUGACUCCCUGAACCCUGGCAGCACAUCUUCAAAAAUGUCCAGAAUGCAAGAGUUUGUGCGGAUUAAACAAAACAAGGACAGCA